rnacentral:misc_RNA from 1 species
AAGACUAUAGACCUGCGGAGUACCUGCGGAGGGAUCAUUAACACAAACCGCGGUUGCGCAUGUGCACGUCGCCCCGCAAGGGGAUCCACGAUUGCUGCUGGCGCUCCGCAUUUGGAUCCAUAUCCAAAUACCCCUGUGAACUGUUAAAGUCUUUACAUUGUGUUCCAAACACCAUGUGAAUGGUCUUUGACUGAAACUUUGACGAAGCAACGAACCGGAUGCUGCUUGCAGCGACCGAAA